AUACUGAGUGCUGAGUGCUGAGCUUUCAAUUAAACGCAGUAAAUUUUAAAACUCUAAACAUUUUGUAAAUCUGUAAAUUAUCUAUUAUCUACAUCGAUAUAUAUUAUAUAAAAAUUAAUUGCUGUUCGUUAGUCUCGCAAAAACUCGAGAACGGCUGGACCGCUUUGGCUAAUUUUGGUCUUGAAUUAUAUGUGGAAGUCUAGAGAAGGUUUAAAAGAUUUUAGUGGCAUACCGUGGAUGUGGAAGUCGAUGGCUGUGGGGAAGUGGCACGCUUUGGAGUAACAGCUUUCGGUGGAGAAGGAGGUUUGGAAUCAGUCACUGGAGCUGGGGCGUGUGUUGGAGGAGUACAUGGUGUCACUUCCAUGCUUGGAGCUAGCGGCGCCUGUGAACAUUUGUAAUUGUUUACUCGCUAUGUUUACUAACUAUUACGAAUCACCAGUAUUUCUAUAGAUUCGGCACAUCAGUCGUUUCCAGUAGUCAAUAAAGGACAGUUGUUAUUUAAAAAUGUUGCUGUUGAUAGAUCGUGUUUGAAGCAGGUUCAUCGCGUGGUCAUGUACCACUAUAAUUUGCGUAAUUACGUACUAGUGGUUGGACGUCUUGUGAGUCCGCACGGGUAGGUACUACCACCCUGCCUAUUUCUGCCGUGAAGCAGUAAUGCGCUUCGGUUUGAAGGAUGGGGCAGCCGUUGUAACUGUACUGAGACCUUAGAACUUAUAUCUUAAGGUAGGUGGCGGCAUUUACGUUGUAAAUGUCUAUGGGCUUCGGUAACCACUUAACAUCAGGUGGGCCGUGAGCUCGUCCACCCACCUAAGCAAUAAAUAACUUCUUUCUGUGAAGCAAUCAUGUUUUCUGGUUUGGAGAGCGGUGCGGCCGUCUUACACUGUGAACAAGACUUCGAAGUCGUGUUUUAAGGAUUUACUGCUUAUCAGGUGGGACGCUACCUGGACCUUAGGGCCUGGUAAUACAGCGUCCGGCUAUUCAUUAGGGUAGAUGUAAAAACGACCUCAUUCACCUCUAGCGUCUACUACAUUCAUCUAGUUCAUUCUAGUAUCAGUGUUAUUUACUGAUUUGCCUUUUACUUUCUGAAUUAUUUCUUCACUGCCCGUAAUGUAAUGUACCAUUGCUAGUAAUGGUGGCCGGGCGUUAAUGUGAAGAGAAAGAUAGUAACAUAAUACAAUUAAAACUUCUAUCUUCUCAUCAUCAUCAUUCUCCUGCUCUUCUCCCAGUCACCUGGCGUCGGCGCAACAUGUUUUCUCCUUGCAUACUCCUCUAUCGUAAACCAUUUCUUCGCUCACGCCCCUCUUACACAUAUUGUCUUUCACGCAAUCCAUCCAUAUCUUCUUAGGUCUACCUCUUCCUCUAUGUCCUUGCACAUUCAUAGUUAAAACUUCUAUCUUCUGAGCCCAAAUAUGUUGACUAAGUUUUGGAAAAAUCUAAAAGAGAAAAGGUGUUGUUCCUUACCUUUGGUUUGCUUGGCGGCGGUGGAGGAGGCGGUAUGGCACCUUCAGUAGGCUUGAUCUCCGGGGCUACUGGUCUCGCGACGGCUAUAUCCUCUGGCGUCUUACCGUCAUCUACAGUUGUUUCUGACGCCUGCUGAUAUGCAAACUGCUUUGUAAAGGCCACUAUCUAAUUUGUUUUUGAUAUUUUAAAGCUGUUUGAUUAAGCCGAUCAUCAUCUGAAUUUGCGCUCAUUUGACCUGACCUGACUUAUAGUUUUUACGUAAUUUUAUAAAACCCAAACUGAGAAACGUUUUUUUUUAUUUAAGAUACCGUUAAAAUACUAGGGAAAACCGGAUCAACCGUUUGUCUGUUCAUAUUUUACCAUCGCAGCGCAAAAUGUCGUAUACCUAAAUCCAAUGAGAUCUAGCCGCAAAUAUUUAAGAAUAUAAACUUUUUACAAAA